rnacentral:rRNA from 1 species
AUUGAACGCUGGCGGCAGGCCUAACACAUGCAAGUCGAACGAGUGGCGGACGGGUGAGUAAUGUCUGGGAAACUGCCCGAUGGAGGGGGAUAACUACUGGAAACGGUAGCUAAUAACGAAUACCAUCGGAUGUGCCCCGAUGGGAUUAGCUAGUAGGUGGGGUAAUGGCUCACCUAGGCGACGAUACCUAGCUGGUCUGAGAGGAUGACCAGCCACAAUGGAACGGAGACACGGUCCAGACGCCUACGGGAGUCAGCAGUGGGGAAUAGUGAGCAAUGGGCGCAAGCCUGAUGCAGCACUGCAGCGUGUAUGAAGAAGGCUUUCGGGGUGUAAAGUACUGUCAGUGGUGAGGCGUUACCCGCAGAAGAAGCACCGGCUAACUCCGUGCCAGCAGCCGCGGUAAUAC